GGGGCUGUAGUACAACCUGGCUAGUAUGCGGGCCUCCAGAGCCUUUGAUCUGGGUUCAAAUCCCAGCAGCCCCA
rnacentral:tRNA from 1 species